GGUGUCAAAAUGGGUCAAAAU
rnacentral:siRNA from 1 species